rnacentral:rRNA from 1 species
AGAGUUUGAUCCUGGCUCAGGACGAACGCUGGCGGCGUGCCUAACACAUGCAAGUCGAACGGAGAAUUUCAAUAAGCUUGCUUAGCGAAAUUUUUAGUGGCGGACGGGUGAGUAACGCGUGGGUAACCUACCCAUAAAUCCGGGACAACCCUUGGAAACGAGGGCUAAUACCGGAUAAUCUUAGAGCUUGGCAUCAAGCAUUAAGGAAAGGUGGCCUCUGAAGAUGCUACCGAUUACGGAUGGACCCGCGUCUGAUUAGCUAGUUGGUGGGGUAAAGGCCUACCAAGGCGACGAUCAGUAGCCGGCCUGAGAGGGUGAACGGCCACACUGGGACUGAGACACGGCCCAGACUCCUACGGGAGGCAGCAGUGGGGAAUCUUCCGCAAUGGACGAAAGUCUGACGGAGCAACGCCGCGUGUAUGAUGAAGGUCUUCGGAUUGUAAAGUACUGUCUUUGGGGAAGAAUGACUGAUUUGAAAAUAUUGAGUCAGUAUGACGGUACCCAAGGAGGAAGCCCCGGCUAACUACGUGCCAGCAGCCGCGGUAAUACGUAGGGGGCAAGCGUUGUCCGGAAUUAUUGGGCGUAAAGCGCGUGUAGGCGGUUUGUUAAGUCUGAUGUGAAAGCCCCGGGCUCAACCUGGGAAGUGCAUUGGAUACUGGCAGACUUGAAUACGGGAGAGGGUAGUGGAAUUCCUGGUGUAGGAGUGAAAUCCGUAGAUAUCAGGAGGAACACCGGUGGCGAAGGCGGCUACCUGGACCGAUAUUGACGC